UCGGUUAUAAGACUCACUUUGUGCUGGUCCCAAUGUGAGUAUUAUAAGCGGCGUCCACUGUAUUUUAGUAUUCAUUCGUUAUUCAAUUCGCCCAAGUGACGCCUUAGAACUUUUCGACGGAAUUUUAGGUUUUGAUGGUGUAGGGGUAGAGUUUAAAUAUUGUAUAAUGUAACUAAACAUUUAUGUAUAUUAAAAACAAAAAUUGUUGGAUUUUGCAGGAAACAAGCACUCCAGUGUACUGUACUACUGUAGUAUGACUAGCCUCUAGCAUGUACAACACUAUUUAUACCUAUUUAAUUGUAUAAAUAUGUUAUUAUUCUGUUACCUGGGGUUGCGCGCUCAAGAAUAAAAAACAUUCGCCUACGUCACCCGAGUCGUAAAUUAGCAAUAAAUUUUAAUUUUAAAACUUAAAAGUAAAAUAUGUAUGUCACGAAAGAGUUGGUAAUCAAACUUACGUAAAGGUACACCGACUCUUCGGGUUAAAUAAAGCUGUGUUAUACAAGAGUCGGAGGAGACACCAUAUCAAGGGACUUGAUCUUCAUCUCAUUCCGAACUGGAAGGAUGGAAAUAUUUUACAAAAAUUACUUGAGCAAAAUUAAAAAUAUCAGAAGUGGUUAAACACAUUGUGUGUUCAGUUGCUUUCCAUAAAGUUACAGGCGGCAAACAAUAAAUGCAAUUUAAUACACGAGUUUGGUUGAAAAUAAUUUAAACUAUAAGAAAUUAUGAUGAGGGUGUUUGAAAAUGGAUCAAUUGCUUCAUAUAAAUUGUUCGGAAUGUUAAAUUCAUUUCUGGCUUCGUUGAACUGGCAAUAGGUGAUGAUGUGCUUCAUGGAGUUUUUGUGUUGCAUAAGGGCGGAUAUGUCUUUUCCAUGAAGUGUCCAUGUCCAUGUGUUAAUUUGAUGUGACCGAUUGAGAAUUACUUUAUAACUUAAGUUAUUAUGCUGUGAGCAAUGAACAUAUUAUUAUACCAAUCUAUGGUUGUAAACUUGUAAACUUGCAACUUGGGAGGUACUAGGUACCUAUAAUAUAUUUAUAUAAU